rnacentral:lncRNA from 1 species
GGGAGAUAUGCAAGCGAUCGGCCGGUCUACUCAGUUCUCGUUCGUUUGCCAGCCAGUCGUCCCCACACGAUAGAAGUGGUUGACAGUUCUCAGCAUCGUCAAAGACACGUCGUCGACAUUCGUCAAACAAAAAGAUAACAAGGGAAGAUAGAAGUGGAACAUCCAAGUUGGAAUAUCUUCUUUCUUUUCUAUUAACAUGCAUUUGUUCGAGAUGGGACUAGAAGAACGAGGAACAAAUAUAAUACCGAGUACAAGUGUACAAUCAUGGUUUUUGCCGGAGUUGUUGUUAAUUGGGGAGUGUGGGACUUUGUGAAGUUAUUAUCGAACCAGAUCUAUCGGUAAAGAAGAGAGAGAGAGAGAGAGAAAUAAGAUUUAUCGUCUAUAAUCAAUAAGACACGUACGCACAUUCCUACGAAAAAAACAUGGAAGAUAAAUAAAGUGAAAAUAUGAAGGAAGUUACAGACGCGCGUAAGUGUCUUAUGUGUUCGAUAAAAUGAAGGAAGAAACAACAACCGUUUGUGGAAUAUCUACGCGUGCGGGCUGCGAUAACAGAGUAGGUGGAUGUUGUUAGUAGCUAGCAGCCUGUCGAAUCGAACAUGUUGCUUGAUUCUGUCCACCGUGUCGUUGGUAACAGUUAACAGUACCAGCAAAAAGAAAAAACAAAAAAGAACAAAUGAGAAGGGAGAGAAGGAUAGAGUGAUUGAACAAAAAAAGUGUAGUGGAGGAUCGGCAUCGAAGAUGUAAAGGAAAGGAGAUGAAGAAGAAGAAGAA